rnacentral:rRNA from 1 species
CAGAUCUAGCUUGCUAGAUGCUGACGAGUGGCGCACGGGUGCGUAACGCGUAUACAAUCUACCUUUAACUGAGGGAUAGCCCAGAGAAAUUUGGAUUAAUACCUCAUAGUAUUAUAAUUAGGCAUCUUUUUAUAAUUAAAACUUCGGUGGUUAAAGAUGAGUAUGCGUACUAUUAGCUAGUUGGUAAGGUAAAAGCUUACCAAGGCAACGAUAGUUAGGGGGCCUGAAAGGGUGAUCCCCCACACUGGUACUGAGACACGGACCAGACUCCUACGGGAGGCAGCAGUGAGGAAUAUUGCACAAUGGAGGAAACUCUGAUGCAGCCAUGCCGCGUGCAGGAAGAAUGCCCUAUGGGUUGUAAACUGCUUUUAUACAA